AUUGAACGCUGGCGGAAUGCUUUACACAUGCAAGUCGAACGGCAGCACGGACUUCGGUCUGGUGGCGAGUGGCGAACGGGUGAGUAAUGUAUCGGAACGUGCCCAGUCGUGGGGGAUAACGUAGUGAAAAUUACGCUAAUACCGCAUACGAUCUAUGGAUGAAAGCGGGGGAUCGCAAGACCUCGCGCGAUUGGAGCGGCCGAUAUCAGAUUAGGUAGUUGGUGGGGUAAAGGCCCACCAAGCCAACGAUCUGUAGCUGGUCUGAGAGGACGACCAGCCAAAGUGGAACUGAGACACGGUCCAGACUCCUACGGGAGGCAGCAGUGGGGAAUUUUGGACAAUGGGCGAAAGCCUGAUUCAGCCAUUCCGCGUGCAGGAUGAAGGCCCUCGGGUUGUAAACUGCUUUUGUACAGAAGGAAAAGGUUUCUACUAAUACUAGGAGCUCAUGACGGUACUGUAAGAAGAAGCACCGGCUAACUACGUGCCAGCCGCCGCCGUAA
rnacentral:rRNA from 1 species